rnacentral:rRNA from 1 species
CCUACGGGAGGCAGCAGUGAGGAAUAUUGGUCAAUGGACGAGAGUCUGAACCAGCCAAGUAGCGUGAAGGAUGACUGCCCUAUGGGUUGUAAACUUCUUUUAUAAAGGAAUAAAACGAGGCACGUGUGCCUUUUUGCAUGUACUUUAUGAAUAAGCAUCGGCUAACUCCGUGCCAGCAGCCGCGGUAAUACGGAGGAUCCGAGCGUUAUCCGGAUUUAUUGGGUUUAAAGGGAGCGUAGAUGGGUUGUUAAGUCAGUUGUGAAAGUUUGCGGCUCAACCGUAAAAUUGCAAUUGAUACUGGCAGUCUUGAGUACAGUUGAGGUAGGCGGAAUGCGUGGUGUAGCGGUGAAAUGCUUAGAUAUCACGAAGAACCCCGAUUGCGAAGGCAGCUUACUAAACUGUGACUGACAUUGAUGCUCGAAAGUGUGGGUAUCGAACAGGAUUAGAUACCCUGGUAGUC